rnacentral:lncRNA from 12 species
AUUAAGAUAAAUAUAUAGGAAAAUGGAAAAGCAGAAAUUCUGAUGUUUUGCUUUUGAUUUUGCCAAGUUAAGUCAAUUCCAGGAGUCCUCUUUUCAGAAAGAUAAAUAAAUGCUGAAGACUUAUUUCCAACCAAUACAUGGAUGGCUGCCAAUGAGAAAAGCAAGCAGCAGAAAGUAUCAGCAAAGUAACUUGGCACUGGAUAAACCAGAAAGAGAAAAACCAAGAUCUCUUAGUAUGUGUUUUAUUCAAAAUAAGAUCUGUUUUUGUUUUGUUUUUUGUUUUUCCACCUGGGUAAGGCUAUCUUUAUUUUUCAUCAGGGAAGUUUGGGCACACAGACCUGAAAAGCAGAUGUGCUUUAGUAGGACAGGUAGAGGGAAGCAGCAGAAUGUGAGGAGGCUGCAGACCAUGCCAAGGUGGAGGAGGAGAUGCUGCAGAGUCCCCAGGGCUGACAGAGACUUGCCAUGUGACACAAUCUCUCCAUUCCAGAACUCCGAGGCUAGUGAUACCUGCAGUUGGUGGGUCAGAGCUCAAACCUCUGAUGUCACUGCUUUGGAAGGUUCCAGAAAACCUGUGGAAACAUGUUUACUCAGUGGAAGUGUGUUGACUCCAGCUGGUUCCUACCCUAGAGGAAUCACACAGAAUGGGUUUGGAAUUAGCUACAAUGGAAGACCACCUCAAAGCCUGUCCUGUUUGAACUCUCCUGCUUGGACCUCAGCUGCUGCAGCAAGGAAGCCUAAAUAAGGCUGAGUCUAGGAGCUCUGAAGCCUAUGGACAACAGCUCUAGCUGAGCUUCCGGUUGGCAUCUGCCAACAGCUUUGAGCUUUGGGAGUAAGAUUAUUUGGAACUUCUUUCUUCUGCACCUCACCAAAUGGAGUUCUUUUCAAGAUAUAGUCCAUGAGUGAGGUUUGGAACUUUUUAAAAAAGAUUUUAUUGGGGAUCCCUGGGUGGCUCAGUGGUUUGGCACCUGCCUUCAGCCCAGGGCAUGAUCCUAUAGUCCUGGGAUCAAGUCCUGAGUCGGGCUCCUUGUAUGGAGCCUGCUUCCUCCUCUGCCUCUCUUUCUCUCUCUCUCUCCCCCUCUCUCUGUCUCUCAUGAAUAAAUGAAUAAAAUUUUUUUAAAAAAGAUUUUAU